GAGGACGGCGAUGUGACAUGCG
rnacentral:siRNA from 1 species